UACGGGGGGGGCAAGCGUUGUUCGGAAUUACUGGGCGGAAAGGGGUUGGAGGUGGCUCGCUAAGUCACACGUGAAAUCCCUCAGCUUAACUGGGGAACUGCGUGUGAGACUGGCAAGCUUGAGGGCAGGAGAGGAACGCGGAAUUCCAGGUGUAGCGGUGAAAUGCGUAGAUAUCUGGAGGAACACCGGUGGCGAAGGCGGCGUUCUGGACUGCAUCUGACACUGAAAAACGAAAGCCAGGGGAGCAAACGGG
rnacentral:rRNA from 1 species